rnacentral:lncRNA from 1 species
AUUUGUGCACGAUAUGACCCGAGGUGGUUAACGGUGGUCGUUGGAGAUGGUUGGCGGUGGUCGGAGGUGGACGAGGAGGACGAGGAUUUGU